GCUCUGGUGGCUCAAUCGGAUAGAGCGUUGGACUUCUAUUCCAAAGGUUGCGGGUUCAAGUCCCGCCCAGAGUA
rnacentral:tRNA from 1 species